rnacentral:lncRNA from 10 species
UCCUAGUCCCCGCCACACACAGGUCGUGGGUUCUCCUUUGAGAGUGACCACUGGUUCCUAGAGCUUUUCCUAAACUGGAGACGGAUCCUGCCCUGGGGGUCUCAGUCACCGCGAGGACUCGAGGGUAACUGCCAGAGGUCCCAGGUGGCCCGAGGGCUAUUUUAAAAUAUUUUCUGUUUCCUUGAUUUCUCCUCCUUUGGAUGUAUUGGGCUUCCUGACUCUUUGAAGAAUCUAUCCAGUGUCUUUAAGGUAGCAAAACUAAGUGUCAAAAGCACCUUCUGCACACAGUCUGCACACACUGGCCGGUGGUCCUGUUCCCGCAAGGUUGAGCUGUGUUCCAGAGACAUGGGUCCUCCGGGUGAUGAGGAGCCGCUGGAGGGCCCUGAGCUGCACGUGCUAAUGAUUAACGCCCCGUCCGUGCUGGCCGGUUUCUCAAAUGCCUCCUGACGAUUGCGCACAGCCGGACAUCAUUUGUACUGAGAGACAAAAGGAAAUCACUGAGGCUUUCUGAGGUGAGCUGGGCGGCCGCG